CAGGUGAGCCCCAUUAACUCAUGCACAUGUAAGUCGCAGUUUGGUUUUACUCACGGUUAAGUUGUGGACCCCAAAAAUUUAGAAUACUGCAUAAAAGUCAAUUUUGAUUUGACUGUUUUUGGGAGGGAUUUCAGUGUGAUCUAUCCU